rnacentral:rRNA from 1 species
UACGUAGGGGGCAAGCGUUAUCCGGAUUUACUGGGUGUAGAGGGAGCGUAGACGGCAAUGCAAGUCUGGAGUGAAAGGCGGGGGCCCAACCCCCGGACUGCUCUGGAAACUGUAUAGCUGGAGUGCAGGAGAGGUAAGUGGAAUUCCUAGUGUAGCGGUGAAAUGCGUAGAUAUUAGGAGGAACACCAGUGGCGAAGGCGGCUUACUGGACUGUAACUGACGUUGAGGCUCGAAAGCGUGGGGAGCAAACAGG